rnacentral:rRNA from 1 species
UGGGGAAUAUUGGACAAUGGGCGCAAGCCUGAUCCAGCCAUGCCGCGUGUGUGAAGAAGGCCUUUUGGUUGUAAAGCACUGUAAGCGAGGAGGAGGCUACCGAGAUUAAUACUCUUGGAUAGUGGACGUUACUCGCAGAAUAAGCACCGGCUAACUCUGUGCCAGCAGCCGCGGUAAUACAGAGGGUGCGAGCGUUAAUCGGAUUUACUGGGCGUAAAGCGUGCGUAGGCGGCUUUUUAAGUCGGAUGUGAAAUCCCUGAGCUUAACUUAGGAAUUGCAUUCGAUACUGGGAAGCUAGAGUAUGGGAGAGGAUGGUAGAAUUCCAGGUGUAGCGGUGAAAUGCGUAGAGAUCUGGAGGAAUACCGAUGGCGAAGGCAGCCAUCUGGCCUAAUACUGCCGCUGAGGUACGAAAGCAUGGGGAGCAAACAGG